UACAGAGGGGGGCAAGCGUUGUUCGGAAUUACUGGGCGUAAAGGGCGCGUAGGCGGCCCGCUAAGUCGAACGUGAAAUCCCCGAGCUCAACUCGGGAACUGCGUCCGAUACUGGUGGGCUUGAAUCCGGGAGAGGGAUGCGGAAUUCCAGGUGUAGCGGUGAAAUGCGUAGAUAUCUGGAGGAACACCGGUGGCGAAGGCGGCAUCCUGGACCAACACUGACACUGAGGAGCGAAAGCCAGGGGAGCAAACGGG
rnacentral:rRNA from 1 species